ACGAAGGUGGGCUAAUCACGGUUGGACAUCGUGAGGUUAGUGCAAUGGCAUAAGCCCGCUUGACUGCGAGAAUGACAAUUCGAGCAGGUGCGAAAGCAGGUCAUAGUGAUCCGGUGGUUCUGAAUGGAAGGGCCAUCGCUCAACGGAUAAAAGGUACUCCGGGGAUAACAGGCUGAUACCGCCCAAGAGUUCAUAUCGACGGCGGUGUUUGGCACCUCGAUGUCGGCUCAUCACAUCCUGGGGCUGAAGUCGGUCCCAAGGGUAUGGCUGUUCGCCAUUUAAAGUGGUACGCGAGCUGGGUUUAGAACGUCGUGAGACAGUUCGGUCCCUAUCUGCCGUGGGCGUUGGAAGAUUGAAGGGGGCUGCUCCUAGUACGAGAGGACCGGAGUGGACGAACCUCUGGUGUUCGGGUUGUGUCGCCAGACGCAUUGCCCGGUAGCUAAGUUCGGAAUCGAUAACCGCUGAAAGCAUCUAAGCGGGAAGCGAGCCCUGAGAUGAGUCUUCCCUGAUACUUUAAGUAUCCUAAAGGGUUGUCGGAGACUACGACGUUGAUAGGUCAGGUGUGUAAGUGCUGUGAGGCAUUGAGCUAACUGAUACUAAUUGCCCGUGAGGCUUAACCAUACAACACCCAAGGGGUUU
rnacentral:rRNA from 1 species